rnacentral:rRNA from 1 species
AUUGAACGCUGGCGGCAGGCUUAACACAUGCAAGUCGAGCGAGCGGCGGACGGGUGAGUAAUGUCUGGGAAACUGCCUGAUGGAGGGGGAUAACUACUGGAAACGGUAGCUAAUACCGCAUACCAUCGGAUGUGCCCAGAUGGGAUUAGCUAGUAGGUGGGGUAAAGGCUCACCUAGGCGACGAUCCCUAGCUGGUCUGAGAGGAUGACCAGCAACAAUGUAACUGAUACACGGUCCAGACUCAUACGGGAGGCAGCAGUGGGGAAUCUUGCACAAUGGGCGCAAGCCGGAUGCAGCCAUGCGGCGUGUAUGAAGAGGGCCUUCGGGUUGUAAAGUACUUUCAGCGGGGAGGCGUUACUCGCAGAAGAAGCACCGGCUAACUCCGUGCCAGCAGCGGCGGUAAUAC